rnacentral:rRNA from 1 species
GUGGGGAAUUUUGGACAAUGGGCGCAAGCCUGAUCCAGCAAUGCCGCGUGCAGGAUGAAGGCCUUCGGGUUGUAAACUGCUUUUGUACGGAACGAAACGGUCCUGGUUAAUACCUGGGGCUAAUGACGGUACCGUAAGAAUAAGCACCGGCUAACUACGUGCCAGCAGCCGCGGUAAUACGUAGGGUGCGAGCGUUAAUCGGAAUUACUGGGCGUAAAGCGUGCGCAGGCGGUGCUGUAAGACAGGCGUGAAAUCCCCGGGCUCAACCUGGGAAUUGCGCUUGUGACUGCAUAGCUAGAGUACGGCAGAGGGGGAUGGAAUUCCGCGUGUAGCAGUGAAAUGCGUAGAUAUGCGGAGGAACACCGAUGGCGAAGGCAAUCCCCUGGGCCUGUACUGACGCUCAUGCACGAAAGCGUGGGGAGCAAACAGGAUUAGAAACCCUUGUAGUCC